UAUUUCUAUAGGCUCUAAAGAUGUGAGAGAAUGAAGUAAUUUGUUGGAAGAAAAUCAUAAGAGAAGUAGGAAUAAUUCAGAACAAGUGCAGGAAACACCUAGAACAACAUGAGAGACAUUUUUAAUUCUUCUCAAGAAGGCAGCAGUGUGGACUACAGAGGACUUUGUUAAAGUUGUUUAAGAAACAAGCAAGCAGGUGGAAGAUGGCCGCACCCUUUCUGAAUACAACAUCCAGAAAGAGUCAACUUUCCACCUCAUCCUGUGCCUGAGGGGUUAUAUGCAGAUCUUCCUGAAGACCCUGACCUGCAAGACCAUUACCCUGGAGGUGGAGCCCAGUGACACUAUUGAAAAUGUGAAGGCCAAGAUCCAGGAUAAAGAGGGCACCCCCCUGACCAGCAGAGGCUCAUCGUUGCAGGAGACAGCGUUUCUGGAUUCCUUUAACAGGAAGUUUCAUUACUAUAUACUUGCUGCUGAGUCGACCAAUUUUCUUUGCUUCUCUGUGAAGAUCAACGGUCAACAACUGGAAGCUAAGCCCAUUUGUUUGAUUGCUUGGUCUCAUGUAUAACUUUUUUCAUGUUUAUUUGCACAUGUAGUAGUUCAUAAAAGUUACGGUGAACAAAGACUGAAUUUUAGCCUGUGAUGAGUUUUACAGGGAAAGCCCUGUAUGAUCAGGUCCAGUUCCUUUUAUGUAAUCACCUGGAUUGGCAGGUUAUAUACCUGUGGUUGAAAUGGAUGUAGGUUAGGGCUAAGAAAAUGUUGAAGCCUCUGGAUAUUGAAUGUGGAAAUAAAAGCCCCUAUCUUCUAGAUAAGCCUAGAAAU
rnacentral:lncRNA from 12 species